UAUAUCUGCAUGCCAGGGGCC
rnacentral:misc_RNA from 1 species